CAUCCUCCAAGGCUAAAUACUCCUGACUGACCGAUAGUGAACCAGUACCGUGAGGGAAAGGCGAAAAGAACCCCGGCGAGGGGAGUGAAAAAGAACCUGAAACCGUGUACGUACAAGCAGUGGGAGCCCCACCACUAAGCCAGUGGUGAACUCCACAUACGCAUCCUUUGCUGAGGAUACGGUUAACGGAGCGAAAGCGACGUUCAACCUCAAAAGAAGCAGAGGGGGCUUAGUGGUGGGGUGACUGCGUACCUUUUGUAUAAUGGGUCAGCGACUUAUAUUCUGUAGCAAGGUUAACCGUAUAGGGGAGCCGUAGGGAAACCGAGUCUUAACCGGGCGUUAAGUUGCAGGGUAUAGACCCGAAACCCGGUGAUCUAGCCAUGGGCAGGUUGAAGGUUGGGUAACACUAACUGGAGGACCGAACCGACUAAUGUUGAAAAAUUAGCGGAUGACCUGUGGCUGGGGGUGAAAGGCCAAUCAAACCGGGAGAUAGCUGGUUCUCCCCGAAAGCUAUUUAGGUAGCGCCUCGUGAAUUCAUCUCCGGGGGUAGAGCACUGUUUCGGCUAGGGGGCCAUCCCGGCUUACCAACCCGAUGCAAACUGCGAAUACCGGAGAAUGUUAUCACGGGAGACACACGGCGGGUGCUAACGUCCGUCGUGAAGAGGGAAACAACCCAGACCGCCAGCUAAGGUCCCAAAGUCAUGGUUAAGUGGGAAACGAUGUGGGAAGGCCCAGACAGCCAGGAUGUUGGCUUAGAAGCAGCCAUCAUUUAAAGAAAGCGUAAUAGCUCACUGGUCGAGUCGGCCUGCGCGGAAGAUGUAACGGGGCUAAACCAUGCACCGAAGCUGCGGCAGCGA
rnacentral:rRNA from 1 species